rnacentral:rRNA from 1 species
AAUAGAUACCCUGGUAGUCCAUGCCGUAAACGAUGUCUACUAGCCGUUGGGGCCUUUGAGGCUUUAGUGGCGCAGCUAACGCGAUAAGUAGACCGCCUGGGGAGUACGGUCGCAAGACUAAAACUCAAAUGAAUUGACGGGGGCCCGCACAAGCGGUGGAGCAUGUGGUUUAAUUCGAUGCAACGCGAAGAACCUUACCUGGUCUUGACAUAGUAAGAACUUUCCAGAGAUGGAUUGGUGCCUUCGGGAACUUACAUACAGGUGCUGCAUGGCUGUCGUCAGCUCGUGUCGUGAGAUGUUGGGUUAAGUCCCGCAACGAGCGCAACCCUUUUCCUUAUUUGCCAGCGGGUUAAGCCGGGAACUUUAAGGAUACUGCCAGUGACAAACUGGAGGAAGGCGGGGACGACGUCAAGUCAUCAUGGCCCUUACGACCAGGGCUACACGACGUGCUACAAUGGUCAGUCAAAGGGUUGCUACCUAGCGAUAGGAUGCUAAUCUCAAAAAGCCGAUCGUAGUCCGGAUUGGAGU